UUAUGGAGAUGCUAUCCUGCCUUCAUCGAAUUUCAUCGUCAAAAAAUCAGGGACAUGACUUGAACUUCCUUUGAUACUCAUUCCGUCUUCAUCCCGUUCUCUGGGUAUUGGAUAGAGCUGACCCUACUUCCAAGCCUCCAGGAUGCACGUAUUCCAGGGAUGGUCCAACUGAAGCACCACAUCCCAUCCAAUCUGUAUCAAGUUUGGGUACAAAGACCUCUUGGUGAGCAACUUGUUCCCCAAGUGAAGAAUCUGGCUGAUUAUGAAGAUGAUGCAAAUGAAAGCAGAGUCCAAAUUUGAAAGAUUGUUAAAUAUGUUAUAACCAGCACCAUUUUUGGAAUUUCUAGCCUGAAUCAAUACCUUCUCCCAGUUUUUGUUUUCCCUGUACCAGUUUGAGUCUAGUUUCUCAAAACUGCAAGGGAAAUAGAAUUGAUAGAUACUGACUAUUAUCUUA